CGAUCCUUCGGGAUAGUGGCGGACGGGUGAGGAACACGUAGCUCAUUUGCCUCCGGGCGCGGGAUAACACCACGAAAGUGGUGCUAAUACCGCAUAAGCUCACGGUCUGUAGAGGACUGCGAGAAAAGGCUUCGGUCACCUGGAGAGAAGGCUGCGGCCCAUCAGGUAGAUGGUGAGGUAACGGCUCACCAUGCCGACGACGGGUCGGGGGUCUGAGAGGAUGACCCCCCACACUGGGACUGAGACACGGCCCAGACUCCUACGGGAGGCAGCAGUGAGGGAUAUUGCACAAUGGGGGAAACCCUGAUGCAGCGACGCCGCGUGGGUGAUGAAGGUCUUCGGAUCGUAAAGCCCUUUUCUGCGUGACGAGAGAGGACGGUAGCGCAGGAAUAAGUCUCGGCUAACUACGUGCCAGCAGCC
rnacentral:rRNA from 1 species